rnacentral:rRNA from 1 species
UACGUAGGGUGCGAGCGUUGUCCGGAAUUAUUGGGCGUAAAGAGCUCGUAGGCGGCUUGUCGCGUCGGAUGUGAAAGCCCGGGGCUUAACUCCGGGUCUGCAUUCGAUACGGGCAGGCUAGAGUUCGGUAGGGGAGAUCGGAAUUCCCGGUGUAGUGGUGGAAUGCGUAGAUAUCGGGAGGAACACCAGUGGCGAAGGCGGUUGCCUGGGGCUUUGCUGACGCUGAUGCGCGAAAGCGUGGGGAGCGAUCCGG